rnacentral:rRNA from 1 species
UUUUCCUACGGGAGGCAGCAGUGAGGAAUAUUGGUCAAUGGGCGGGAGCCUGAACCAGCCAAGCCGCGUGAAGGAAGAAGGCGCCACGCGUCGUAAACUUCUUUUGUCGGGGAACAAAGGGCGCCACGUGUGGCGUUGUGAGUGUACCCGAAGAAAAAGCAUCGGCUAACUCCGUGCCAGCAGCCGCGGUAAUACGUAGGUGGCAAGCGUUAUCCGGAUUUAUUGGGCGUAAAGCGAGCGCAGGCGGUUGCUUAGGGCUGAUGUGAAAGCCUUCGGCUUAACCGAAGAAGUGCAUCGGCAACCGG